rnacentral:lncRNA from 1 species
UUCGAAGAGCCAUAGUCUAGAUAUUUGGUUUUGGCAUAGGGCUUCAAGCUUGAAGGUAAGCCCAAGAUUUUGAUCAAAUUUUGAUGGGAUCAAAACCUAAAAUUUAGUUGAUGUUUGUUUUACAAUCCUAAGCUUAAAACGAGACAUUCUCAGAUUAGGCACUAUACGUAAGAGUCAACUCGGUUUGAUAAAUUUUGAGCUAAUCUAAACCUAUUUCUAGUCCUAUUGUCAUUACCACCAUUGCAUCCAUCAUGGUCAUCAUCAUUACUGC